rnacentral:rRNA from 1 species
CUACGGGUGGCAGCAGUGAGGAAUAUUGCACAAUGGGGGGAACCCUGAUGCAGCAACGCCGCGUGGAGGAUGACGCAUUUCGGUGUGUAAACUCCUUUUAUAUGUCAAGAAAAUGACGGUAGCAUAUGAAUAAGCACCGGCUAACUCCGUGCCAGCAGCCGCGGUAAUACGGAGGGUGCAAGCGUUACUCGGAAUCACUGGGCGUAAAGGACGCGUAGGCGGGUUGGAAAGUCAGGUGUGAAAUCCUACAGCUUAACUGUAGAACUGCACUUGAAACUUCUAAUCUAGAGUAUGGGAGGGGGAGAUGGAACUAGUGGUGUAGGGGCAAAAUCCGUAGAUAUCACUAGGAAUACCUAAAGCGAAGGCGAUCUCCUGGAACAUUACUGAUGCUAAGGCGUGAAAGCGUGGGGAGCAAACAGGAUUAGAUACCCUAGUAGUC